CCUGAUUUCCAGCCAGAGUUGAUGAGGACUGCAUGGAAGGAAGACUAAUCCAGACCACUGUGCUCCACCUGCACCCAGACUGCAGUCGCAAGGAUUCUCCACUCCAUGGCUGAUUGUGUCACUGCUAGUCGACAGCUGUCCCGCAUCCAGAGAGGACUGGGAUUGAUUUAGCCUUUACUCCUGCAGGUAGAGCAGCGUGGCGUACGAAGCCCCCAAACUGUACACACGCGUGGUGGGCGACCAGCCGUGCCCCGUCAGAGGCAGUUUGGUGACCAGGCUCCGAGCAGUACCUGGUCAGCUGAAUAUGCACGCUAGAAGCCAUCGUGUACAAUCAGACUGCAUCUCGGCUCCUGGCUAAACAAAGAUUCCAGUAGUCCCAGGAACCUGCUUUGCUGACUCCUUUUAAAACCUAGUGGGAAAAGAGUCCCAACUGAUACAAUCCAGGAAGCUUUUCUGUAACCCCUUGGAGACAUUUAUAUUGUGAAGAAAAUUGAGCUUCAGGAAAAGGUGCGGGUAUCUUACUGUGGAAUUUCCAGCACCAAGUCUCCAGGUUGUCCUGAAAUCACAUGCUACCAAGGACUGAGGAAUGCUAAUUCUCAACUGCAAAUAUUGACUUACAGACCAUAUAGCAAAGAAUAAGCAAAGAGAGGGUUGUGGGAAAAUGGACAAAACUCUAUGAAAGAAAGUCAAUCAAAACCCUAUAUGGCUAAUACAUUUCAGUUAAUUUGAGAUAUUUAUUCAGAAGAAUAAGGCACACAUUUUAUUUUUCAUUUGCAUUUUGGAAAGAGAACCCAGUGAGGAGGUGGCUUUCAAUGCCUGUUAUAGUUUGAAUCUGAAAUGUCUCCCAGAAGUUCUCGUGUUAAAUGGUGGGUCCACAGCUGAUGGCACUGCUGUAUUAGGAGGUAGUGGAACCUUUAGGAGGUGGGGUCUCGUGGCAGGAAGUAAGGUUAUUGGGGGCUUGGUCUUAUAGGGGAUAUUGGGACCUUGGCCCCUUCCUCUCUUUUUCUU
ensembl:lncRNA